rnacentral:lncRNA from 1 species
GUUCUUACUUUAGAGCUGUGACAUCAAGAAAAUUUACCUCUGAUCAUGCCAGGAUUACUAAAUGUUAAAAUCAGACUUCAGUAUCACAAAACAUUUUUAUAUCUGCUCCCCCCCUCACAACCACACAACAAAUAAAAGUUUUCACACAUUCGACUAUAUACCUUCUUACUCAAGCAGUCUGUUUGCAUAUAAUGAAUGGAAACUCAUGAAGCCAAUCAUCUGAGACUUGGAAAUCAGAAAGGUUAAUGACUCCAGAGAGUAAGAUCAGAUUCGUCCACAAAGAGAUGGGCAUAAUACCAAGCUGGGGUGGCACCACCCGGCUAGUUGAAAUAAUCGGAAGUAGACAAGCUCUCAAAGUGUUGAGUGGGGCCCUUAAACUGGAUUCAAAAAAUGCUCUAAACAUAGGAAUGGUUGAAGAGGUCUUGCAGUCUUCAGAUGAAACUAAAUCUCUAGAAGAGGCACAAGAAUGGCUA